UUCGCCGCAGAUGUCAAGCACCUUGUGGUACUUCCGGAAAUGAAACGAAAAAAACAGAAUCAGCUAGUGGUGGGCAAACCUGCUAUGAAUAUUUGCUAAAGAAAAUAAAUAUCAGUCCCGAUUUAAAUAAAAACAUUUCAUAUCUUUGAAUAAGUUAUUUAAAAAACAGUAUUGAAAAAUUGCUCAAAAAUACUAUCCUUCGCUUGAUGGUGAAGCUGAAACUUUGUUUCCUUUAUGGCAAUUUUAUUUUUGCUUCUUACGAACGGCCAGACUGGAUCAGGCCUUUAUGGUAAUGUUAUUGCACUUUCUUUACCACUGUUAUAUGUUUGAUUUGUAAAUCUUUGAAGAAUAUGUAUGUAUUCCACGAUGUAGGGGCAAUAGUAGAAAAAAUAAAUAAAUCACCAAAGAACCUCCAUCACUCGAACGGAGCGGAAGAACUCCCGGAUGAAACGUUUCCCAGAACUAUAGUUCCGAAGUUUGCACGAGCUAGUCGAAGGAUUGAACUGACAGCAAAGCCUACAUCGUAGACUUCCGCUAAUAAACUUCCUCUUUCAUCCUAUCAAUUCGUGCGGUGUAGACGUGAUUUCGUCUUUGCUGCCGUGAAAAAUGAGAGCUAAGUGGCGUAAGAAGCGUAUGCGGAGGUUGAAGCGUAAGCGCAGGAAGAUGCGUGCGAGGUCCAAGUAAA